rnacentral:lncRNA from 1 species
GGGUGGUGAGCUCAAGAACCUCUCUUCUAGAAUAUCUAGAAGAGAUGAUCUUGAGCCAGUUAUAAUAAAUAAUUGUUUGUAAACAUCUACAUUUUGUAUUUCCCAUCGAUGGAGAGUGAGAAAAUUGAGGAUCACAAUUACUUGAGAGACGUAAUUAUGGAGCGACGAAGGAAGUUCUUGUGCUUCACUACUGUCAGAACGUUACAAUUAGCCAAUCCGAAGGAUUCAUUCUUACACCAAAGUUUAUUCAGAUCUCUUCUUCCUCUAUCAUAAGGACUGGAACUAAUUUUGGGACAUAAGUAGAAUAGAUUGAUCUGUAUGGGACUUGUUUGUAAAGAUAAAAGAUGUUCCUAGUCUAUAUCUCAACCAUUUUUAGACGCGUAUAAGUAAAUGGGCUCUUCAAAAUGACUUUUGGAUCCGUAAGAUACAUGCCAUUUCCAAGACCAAGUCUGUUGAACCUUCGCCUUGCGAUAGAUGAUGAAUUUUUCACUUCAUAAACAAUGCAAAUACUGGAAUCAGUAUCACACUUAAUCAUUUUGUUGCUAUGAAGGACUUCUAAGUUAAUGAAAGCCUGUUUUGAAGGACUGAUAUAUUUACUUUUAAAAUCUAGUCCUGAAUAGAUCAAUGGGACAGAAAUGAGUCAUUCAAGACGGGGCUCCGAUCAGGUUCAUAUUAAUAUAAUAAGCACUACCGUGGCUUUUCAUUUAUUUUCUGAAUUUUAAGGGUGGAAAUGGAGUUGAUAAUCUCAUAUAAUCCAUUUAUUACUAUUAGAAACAGGAAUGACCAUAAACGAUCUCCUUGCCAGGCCCCACGCUGGCUCCAAAACUUUGAAUGAGCACCAGGAAUGUCAAUGAUCGAUGAUGAGUUCCUAUGAAUCUCGUUACUAUUUCAACAAAUCCGCCCGACUGUCUGCACCUAUAUAGUUGUUCGACAAUGAACCUGUGUGAGCCAAUAUCGUACACCUUUUCGAUAUCUACAAAAAAUAGACGUGGAAGACUUAACAAAUAUAAUUUCAAAGAAGAAGGCAGAUUUGAACAUAGUUUCCGUAACAUAGCGAAUAUCAUUGUCGUCAAAAAUGAUAAAUUUUGUUUCAGAAAAGAGGGAUCAUGUUCGGCAAAGUAAUACGUGAAGAAACUUGGAUAAUAAAUAUUGUAUUACUGAUCAAAGAAUCGCAUCAAAUUUAAAUGGUAACAUGCAUUUAAAUAUUUUUAGUAUAUUAAAGUAUGGAUUGCUUUACAUCUGGAUAGCCACUAAGUUAUAUAACAAUUAUUUCAUUAAAUAACAAUCGUAGAAGAGAAGAAUCAAAUUCUUGUGAAAAAGUGAACGCGGAGACAGAGACUAAUAUCAUCGUCCAUUGAAACCCCUCAUUUGUGAUCUAAGUUAUUAAUCCUGAAAUUGUGGAUCGUCUGGUGAAAUAUUUUGUAGGAGAAUUUCAUUUUCAGAUGUGAAACUUAUAGAGUGUUCCAAAAGGAAUGAUCAAGUAUGAUUAAAUUAUGUCGAAGAAAGAGCUCAUUUUUAUAUGGGAUUUCUUUCUAUCCCUUUUAGAUCUAACUUCUAAUCGCAGAUCGCCUUUAUUAGUUGCUUAUAUAGGAAUUACCUCUUAUUGAAGUUCUUCAAAGAGACACAUUUUUCAGAGAAUAUCCAUGAGAUUUUCAGUUCCUUUGUAGUUUAGCAUAUUUCUCUUGUAUUGGAGAUGAGCGUCUCUUGGUGAACUAUGUUUUCAUCUAUAGAUGACUUUAAAUUAACUAAUAUAUGUCUCACCGCUAGUAAAAUUUAUUUGAUCUCCCUUUCCUAAUUGAUUAAAGGUGUUAAAAACAGUGUUUUUGAUUUCAUUUCCAAGAGGAAAAUAUGUUUGCUGUUCAUUUUUAAAGAACUUAUUAUUAAGAAUGCCUCAUCUUCCCCUGCAUAUAUAUAUGUGGUCUUAUAAGUAUCUUUAAUCUCAUAAAUCUUAAAAUUAUAUUAUGGAUGUAUGUGUGGAUUAUUCUAAAUGUGAAGUAUGAAUAAGUUAAUAUUUUUCAUCUUUUAAUGCAACAAAUCGUUAUUAUCGCCACUACUUAGUUUGGGUUGAUAUUUCUUUCAUUUCGAAUUGAUUUUGACAACAAGUUCAACUUUUACUUCCUGAUAAUUAUGGAUUACAAUAUAUUUAGACAUAACUUCCAUGAAUCUUCUUCAAUUGGAAUAAAUCAUGAUUAUAUUGAUCAAUGAUCGCUCGAUGUAGACUAAUUCUUCCAUAAAAUAAAAUUUUAUUAUAAACUUGUAAUUUAUUUUCCUAUUCUAUUUUUUUUACUCAACAUCAGUGUUGAGUGAUUCAUUAUU